rnacentral:lncRNA from 1 species
AAAUUACAUAGAGCCCCACAAUCACUGCUAAUGUAGCUCUGCUGGAUGCUAGCAAAACAUCCACAACAGCAAUUCCUAAGAACAGGAAUGAGGAGUUUAAUUAGAAGAGCUUCCAUGACAAAAUGACCUUGUCUGAAGGAAAAACAUGGUAUAUUUCUGAUAAUGUUUGCCCGAGAGUUAGAAGUUCUGCAUGUGGGAGAGAGGUGCCCCAGUCUGAAGAUGCUCAACGAUGCUUCUGUACACGAGGCACUACUGAAAGAUGAAGUGGCUCUUUUAACAGUAAGGCAUAUAUAAUGGAAGCAGGGAAGAAAACUUUCAGAGAAGUACUUUGAAGUGUUCAGCAGUCCAGAGGGCAUCGUUUAUUUAUUGGCACCCCAGUUUAAAGCCACUUGGUUCAGAGAGUGCAACUGUGAGAGCUGAACCCUCCCAAGCAGAGCAGUGUGGAGCAGAGGAAGCACUACAAACUCUGGAAGUGUCUCUUCGGCAUUGCCCUCCUCUUGUCGUGGUGUUUGCUGCUCUCAGCUUUUCCAUAGCUUUCGGAUCAGCCAGGCAACCUGAGUGGAUUGCAGGACCCAGAAUAACUGUGCAUGCUUCCAAAAUGUUACCACAGCUGAGGUUCAUCCUUGAACUCUGGUGGUCUGGAACAACUGCCUUACCAGUUCUCUCUGACAGAUGUAGUCUGACUCAAUCACAAGCAAACUGUGCAACAGACAGAACAGUAUAUUUAACCCCAGAGUGUUCAUCAGAUGAAACAGGCCAUGGAAACAAUGACAUUUAAGUGCUACUUGUAAUCUUCAUCAUUGGCCACCUCAAGCUAUUUGCAUCUCCCUUCUGGCAGCUGACUGAGUGUAACUUUCCUGGGAAGAGCUGUGUACUAUUCAAGCCACAUCUAAAACUCAAGAGCUUCCAUUCAAGCUGGCCAGAGCUUCCUGCAUUCCCAUUUCCACUCCCUAGCAUGAGAUAAAGGACCUGCAGCAGUUCCCAAACUUAGCACUGGUACAAGUUCUGCCUGUCAG